UACAGAGGGUGCAAGCGUUGUUCGGAAUUAUUGGGCGUAAAGGGCGCGUAGGCGGUGCGGUAAGUCUGUAGUGAAAUCUCUGGGCUCAACUCAGAGUCUGCUAUAGCAACUGCCGUGCUCGAGUGUGGGAGAGGUGAGUGGAAUUCCCGGUGUAGCGGUGAAAUGCGUAGAUAUCAGGAGGAACACCGGUGGCGAAGGCGGUUCUCUGGGCCUUACCUGACGCUGAGGAGCGAAAGCAUGGGGAGCAAACAGG
rnacentral:rRNA from 1 species